UUGGAGGGCAAGUCUGGUGCCAGCAGCCGCGGUAAUUCCAGCUCCAAUAGCGUAUAUUAAAGUUGUUGCAGUUAAAAAGCUCGUAGUUGAAUUUCGGGAUCAAUAUGCCGGUCAUGCCUUGGUAUGCACUGGUAUCUUUGAUUUCUCCCUUCUGACGAACUUUGAUGUCAUUAAUUUGGUGUCAUAGGGAAUCAGGACUUUUACUGUGAAAAAAUUAGAGUGCUCCAGGCAGGCCUAUGCUCGAAUACAUUAGCAUGGAAUAAUAGAAUAGGACGUGUGGUUCUAUUUUGUUGGUUUCUAGGACCGCCGUAAUGAUUAAUAGGGAUAGUCGGGGGCAUCAGUAUUCAAUUGUCAGAGGUGAAAUUCUUGGAUUUAUUGAAGACUAACUACUGCGAAAGCAUUUGCCAAGGAUGUUUUCAUUAAUCAGGAACGAAAGUUAGGGGAUCGAAGACGAUCAGAUACCGUCGUAGUCUUAACCAUAAACUAUGCCGACUAGGGAUCGGAUGAUGUUAAUUUUUUAAUGACUCAUUCGGCACCUUACGGGAAAC
rnacentral:rRNA from 1 species